rnacentral:lncRNA from 1 species
UAGGAAUUUUAUUAAAACACUUUUAGUCACAUUUCAUGUUUGUAAUUGUGUGUUUAUCUUUGAAUUAUAAAUAUAUUCGGAGUUCCUUAUUUUAUAUCAGUUUUAAAGCGUGUUCAAAUGACCUUCUAAUGAAAGUCCUGUGAGCUCCAAUUUAAAAGAAGUAAAGGAUUCAGCAAUUGAUGAAAGCAAACAUCCCCUAUUUGAUGUUCAUGUUGAUUUCAUUUUGGAUCGAUGGCUUAAGUCUGAAAUCAGACCUUUUUACUUUGCCUAUGAUUGUGUUGCAAAGCCACAUAAAUACCAACUGGCGUUUCUAAUUUUUGAACAAAUUCAGAUAUUUACGGAAAUGUAUGAAAUACAACAAGAUGAUGUCCCUGAUGAACAAAUAAAAAAAUAUAUAUCAAACCCUGCUUCCUUUGGACAUGUCCGAAUUAUUGCCUUCUUUUUUUAAAAGGUCAUUAGAACUGAGGGCAGAGGUCAUUGUAACAUGGCUAUUGACUAUUGUAAUAUUUAUUCAGUAUUUUUUUUUUGUUAUUUUUUUUGUAUUUUUUUCUAUGUACUUUUUUGUUUUAAUUUGCUGUUUUUGUUUGUUUAAACUGGUAUUGCACACACACACACACACACACUGUAAAUGUUUAAUGACAAUAAAAUUGAAUUAUCUAACUAAUUAAAGA